GCUCUCUUUUUUUCACCAAUAACUUUAUUUCAAACAAGAACCAUGCAGGGACAACAUAAAACAUGGGCAGUACUGAACAAGAUGUGAAGGUCUAAUCAAAGCCAAACAACAUGGUAGCACGGCGGCGAGAAAUUCCUGCGUGUCCCGAAUGCUGCUGGACGCAGGCGGCAAAGUGAAGGAGCCUCUUGCAUCCGCGCGCAGACGAACGCUCGCCGCAGACGGCGGCAGGGUUUCCAUCGGCGGCGUGCUGGCACAGGAUCAGGAUGUUGAUUAUGGAUGAUGCUGAUUACCAGCAGGACUGGCGGUGUUCACCAACUGCAGAGGCUCACAUCAAAUCUUAAGAUUCGACAGGAAACUGGCUUGAUAUGCCGAUAAUGAGAGGCGAUAUUGCUGUCUUUACACCACCUGUAGCUUCUCUAAUCUAACUGAUUUAAAACUUUGUCUGGAUCAGAAGUUCAAUGAGUUUGGGUGACAUAUGGUUGGUUAUAAAGACGUCAUCCGUUUUACACUCUUUACUCAACUCUUUGUCAGCUACCUGAAUAAAGAUGCAUAAAAUGUUAGAAAUAAUUUUGUGUUUAGCUGCUUUCCAGUUGCCAUUUCCUGAUUUAAUAAGAUUAUCACACAUAAUACUUGCUUAUAAAUCAUGUUCCUUCCCAUUUUAAAGAGUGACUGGGAUCAUUUCAAUUACUCCACUGAAAAAUUGCAAAGUAUAAAUUAAAAAAUGCCUGGGUUACUUUAUUUUAUAUUAUUUGUGGGAAUUUUUAGGGAUGGAAACAUUCAAGUUAGCGAGAAGAACGCUUUUAUCCCUUCCUGAAGAGAAUUUUUCACAUUAAAGGUUGGGUUUUUCUAUAUUUUUUUAUGUGAAAAUUAAGAAGAAGAAGUAGUUUUAUUUGUAUAGCACUUUUUCAGCAACAAGGCAGUUAAGUUGCUGCAAUGAAAGAAAGCACAUUUUUCAAGACCUUACAAUGAAUAAAUACGGUGGUAUUGAGUUCUAAUAAUCCUCAUUUCCUUUGGUAAAAUAUAUGUUUUUUCAUUUUCAACCAUUUUAUAACAAAUUCUUGACACAAUAAUGAAACUAACUGAUCGCCACACAUUUACUGGGUGAUUUUAGUGUGAAUUUCUUUGUACUUAUGUACUGAAAUGUCAGUAAAAGCCAAGACACACAGUA